rnacentral:tRNA from 1 species
GGUGAGGUGGCAGAAUAAUGCGACAGAUUUAAGCUUUGUUUAUGAAAUGGUUAUUUCUCUUGCUA